UACGAAGGGGGCUAGCGUUGUUCGGAUUUACUGGGCGUAAAGCGCGCGUAGGCGGGUCGUUAAGUCGGGGGUGAAAUCCUGGAGCUCAACUCCAGAACUGCCUUCGAUACUGGCGAUCUUGAGUCCGGGAGAGGUGAGUGGAACUCCGAGUGUAGAGAUGAAAUUCGUAGAUAUUCGGAAGAACACCAGUGGCGAAGGCGGCUCACUGGCCCGGUACUGACGCUGAGGUGCGAAAGCGUGGGGAGCAAACAGG
rnacentral:rRNA from 1 species